GCCCAUUACCAUUUAUUUCAAUAGGUUUUUGUGUCUUUGACUCCAAAGAAGAAAUGAACUAAUCAGUUAAAGAAAAUGAAUCAACAUUUAUUAGUAACACAAAAUACAUAUUAAAUCUACUAAGUUCCAGGUACUCAAAUGAUUAAAUCUUUGAGGAAUCAUUGAACCUUCCCACCCAGAACUUCUAAACUCAUUUCUCAACAAUUCACAGGAAUAUUUAGCACCACCAAGCCUACUCGUCUGAAUCUAAUCCAAGAGUCAUGUCUUUAUGCAUCUACCAGAUGUAGUCCAGCCAGAUGCCAUAAACAAGAGGAUAACUGAGAGCAACAUAACAUCGAAAAGUCUGUGAACUCCGAAUGCACUGCCAAGUGCUUUUGUACCCAUGUUGUCACUGAGUUCUGGCAGUAAAACAGGGAAGUGUUGUCCCCUUCGCUUUAUUUUUUUUUGAAAACGUAAUAUAGAAAUUUGUAAAUGUUUUAUGAAAUUAGUUCAAGGUCAGAGUGGAAUAAGAGCUGGACUUAAGAUUUAAAAACAGGUAAAUUUGACUCAAGUUCUCUCUCUGUGCCAGUAUUAUCGAGAAACUCUGUUGUGAGCAAUGAGCUACAUAGACCUGGGCAACUUUGACCCUUCAAGUUCCAAAGAAAAGCUUCUCGCUGGACCCUGGCUGAUAACUUGGGGAUCAAGAACCUCUGGCUUCACUAGUUCACUGUGGACUUCUACUUCCCCCCACUUGAUCCAGUUUACUCUUGCAGGCAGAAUCAGGGCAGUCAGCUACCAUCACAGCACUGCUGGCACUGGGAGAAGUAGUGCUGGUAUGCUUUGUUCCAGGAACAGCACAUACUCUUUGGGCCUAUGUCAACCUCAAAGCCAAAAGCACAGACUCUGCCACUCUGCAUUAGCCCCUCUGAAAAGCACAGGUCUCCCUGUGAAAGUCACUAAGGAAGUCAAAGACAGAGUGUGAUAUUAAAAUCAUUUAGCAACCAGCCACCCAGCGACCUUCCAGGGGAACCACAGAGCUUGGUUGGUGUGAGGAUGAAUAAUGUGACAAAAGUUAAGGCACACCCCGAAUCCCAGAGGCACGUGGAAUGGUGAGCGAGUGGCCACACGCAGUGAAAUCAACACUGGACUUGGCCCUAGAAGACCUGGGUUUUAGUCCCUGAUUUCUUUGCUGUGUGGCCCUGGGUAAGUACUGUG
rnacentral:lncRNA from 1 species